CCUACGGGUGGCAGCAGUGGGGAAUAUUGGGCCAUGGGCGAAAGCCUGACCCAGCAACGCCGCGUGAAGGAAGAAGGCUUUCGGGUUGUAAACUUCUUUUGAUAGGGAAGAGCAGACGACGGUACCUGUCGAAUAAGCCACGGCUAACUACGUGCCAGCAGCCGCGGUAAUACGUCGGUGGCAGGCGUUAUCCGGAUUUACUGGGUUGAAAGGGCGUGUAGGCGGGGAGGCAAGUCAGAUGUGAAAACCACGGGCUCAACCUGUGGCCUGCAUUUGAAACUGGUUUUCUUGAGUGCUGGAGAGGCAAUCGGAAUUCCGUGUGUAGCGGUGAAAUGCGUAGAUAUACGGAGGAACACCAGUGGCGAAGGCGGAUUGCUGGACAGUAACUGACGCUGAGGCGCGAAAGCGUGGGGAGCAAACAGGAUUAGAUACCCUUGUAGUC
rnacentral:rRNA from 1 species